UUACUACUCCCUCCGUCCGGAAAUACUUAUCAUCGAAAUGGAUAAAAGGGGAUGUAUCUAGAUGUAUUUUAGUUCUAGAUGUAUCUUUUUUAUCCAUUUUGAUGACAAGUAUCUUCGGACGGAGGGAGUACUAC
rfam:Triticum aestivum genome assembly, contig: Triticum_aestivum_CS42_TGACv1_scaffold_112080_2AS